rnacentral:rRNA from 1 species
GGUUGUAAAGUUCUUUCGUGUGUGGGACGAUGAUGACGGUACCACCAGAAGAAGCCCCGGCUAACUUCGUGCCAGCAGCCGCGGUAAUAUA